rnacentral:ncRNA from 1 species
GUUCUCAGGGCGGGGUGCAAUUCCCCACCGGCGGUAAGCGCGAAAGCGUAAGCCCGCGAGCGCCUUUGCGGCCAAGUCAUUGGAGCAAAGGGUCAGCAGAUCUGGUGCGACUCCAGAGCCGACGGUCAUAGUCCGGAUGGAAGAGAACG